rnacentral:rRNA from 1 species
AUUCCAGCUCCAAUAGCGUAUAUUAAUGUUGUUGCAGUUAAAAAGCUCGUAGUUGGAUUUCUGGGUUCUUCGCUAGCUUUGGUCCGCAAGGGCUUCAGUGGGCUGUUUGAAUCCAUCCUCAGGGGGACCCAUGCUGGUAUUCAUUUAUCGGUGUGGGAACGCCUGUCGUUUACUGUGAACAAAUUAGAGUGUUCAAAGCAAGGUGUACUUGAAUACAUUAGCAUGGAAUAAUAAGAUAGGACUUUGGUGGUUCUUUUUGAUAUUUUGUUGGUUUGCACGCCAAAGUAAUGAUUAAUAGGAGCAGUUGGGGGUAUUCGUAUUCAAUUGUCAGAGGUGAAAUUCUUGGAUUUAUAGAAGACGGACUACUGCGAAAGCAUCUGCCAUGGAUGUUUUCAUUA